rnacentral:rRNA from 1 species
UUUUUAGGUCUGGUAAUUGAAAUGAGUACAAUUUAAAUCCCUUAACGAAUGCAAUUGGAGGGCAAGUCUGGUGCCAGCAGCCGCGGUAAUUCCAGCUCCAAUANCGUAUAUUAAAGUUGCUGCANUUAAAAAGCUCGUANUUGGAUUUCUGGCGUGGCGCAUCUGGCCCGCUGCGGUUACGUAGUGAGUGUCGGUUUGUGCCUGCCAUCCUUCAAGAGAGCAUAUCUACUCUUAACUGAGCCGGAUAUGUUAUCUUGAUCUUUUACUUUGAAAAAAUUAGAGUGUUUAAAGCAGGCUUAUGCUAUGAAUACAUUAGCAUGGAAUAACAAUUUAGGACUUCGGUUCUAUUUUGUUGGUUUCUAGGACUGAAGUAAUGAUUGAUAGGGAUAGUUGGGGGUGCUCGUAUUCAGUGGCCAGAGGUGAAAUUCUUGGAUUCACUGAAGACGAACUUAUGCGAAAGCAUUCACCAAGGAUGUCUUCUUUAAUCAAGAACNAAAGUUGGGGGAUCGAAGAUGAUCAGAUACCGUCGUAGUCUCAACCAUAAACUAUACCGACUAGGGAUGAGUGAAAGUUGUAUUUUCGACUUCAUUCGCACCUUAUGAGAAAUCAAAGUCUUUGGGUUCCGGGGGGAGUAUGG